rnacentral:lncRNA from 1 species
GUGUCAGGAUGGCUGCCACAGCUCCUGUUUCUGCCUCCCUGGCUGCUCCCGAACCCCGUGCCCAGGACCGAGCACAGCGUCGGACCCGAGCGCACACAGGACCAGAACCGCCUGUCCUGGYUACCUCCCCGCCCUCCGCCCCAGCUGCUGCUCUUAACCCACCUCGCUCCUGUCCCCUAGGAGGACGCCAUCKCCCCCAAGCAGUGCAGACACUCGGCUCCCACCGAUAUCCCUGGCCUGUCCUCGGGCAGAGAUUUGGAGGCCGCUCUCCGGGGUCAACCACACAAGCUUAGUGUCCAUCCACUACCCUUUCCUGGCCGUGAACAAGACCCCGGAGCCUGGUCCAGAGGGUGGAGGGAAAGUCAGAGUGCUGGAUCGUGGCCCACCCUGCCUCGGGGACCUCACUCCCCGUCCCCCCGCMGGCUGUCCCCGCGGCUCU